rnacentral:rRNA from 1 species
GACGAACGCUGGCGGCGUGCCUAAUACAUGCAAGUAGAACGCUGAAGAGAGGAGCUUGCUCUUCUUGGAUGAGUUGCGAACGGGUGAGUAACGCGUAGGUAACCUGCCUUGUAGCGGGGGAUAACUAUUGGAAACGAUAGCUAAUACCGCAUAACAAUGGAUGACACAUGUCAUUUAUUUGAAAGGGGCAAUUGCUCCACUACAAGAUGGACCUACGUUGUAUUAGCUAGUAGGUGAGGUAAUGGCUCACCUAGGCGACGAUACAUAGCCGACCUGAGAGGGUGAUCAGCCACACUGGGACUGAGACACGGCCCAGACUCCUACGGGAGGCAGCAGUAGGGAAUCUUCGGCAAUAGGGGCAACCCUGACCGAGCAACGCCGCGUGAGUGAAGAAGGUUUUCGGAUCGUAAAGCUCUGUUGUAAGUCAAGAACGGGUGUGAGAGUGGAAAGUUCACACUGUGACGGUAGCUUACCAGAAAGGGACGGCUAACUACGUG